ensembl:ncRNA Y95B8A.14 ncRNA
UUUAGGCUUAGGCUUAGGCUUAGGCUUAGGCUGAGGCUUAGGCUUAGGCUUAAGCUUAGGCUGAGGCUUAGGCUUAGGCUUAGGCUUAGGCUUAAUCUUAGCCUUA